rnacentral:rRNA from 1 species
UACAGAGGUCUCAAGCGUUGUUCGGAAUCACUGGGCGUAAAGGGUGCGUAGGCGGAUCUGCAAGUCGGGGGUGAAAUCCCGAGGCUCAACCUCGGAACUGCCUUCGAUACUGCGGGUCUCGAGUCCGGGAGAGGUGAGUGGAAUUCCUAGUGUAGAGGUGAAAUUCGUAGAUAUUAGGAAGAACACCAGUGGCGAAGGGCGGCCUCAC